rnacentral:rRNA from 1 species
UACAGAGGGUGCGAGCGUUAAUCGGAAUUACUGGGCGUAAAGCGCACGUAGGUGGCGACGUAAGUCGGGUGUGAAAGCCCCGGGCUCAACCUGGGAAUUGCAUUCGAGACUGCAUUGCUGGAGUACGGAAGAGGAAGGCGGAAUUCCCGGUGUAGCGGUGAAAUGCGUAGAUAUCAAGAGGAACACCAGUGGCGAAGGCGAGUCCCUGGACAAACCCUGACACUGAGGCACGAAAGCCAAGGGAGCAAACAGG